rnacentral:tRNA from 1 species
GGGCCUCUAGCUCAGUUGGCAGAGCAUCGGACUUUUAAUCCGCUGGUCGUGGGUUCGAGUCCCACGGGGCCCA